CCUACGGGUGGCAGCAGUGGGGAAUAUUGCACAAUGGGGGAAACCCUGAUGCAGCGACGCCGCGUGAGUGAAGCAGUAAUUCGUUAUGUAAAGCUCUAUCAGCAGGGAAGCAAAUGACGGUACCUGAGUAAGCAGCCCCGGCUAACUACGUGCCAGCAGCCGCGUGAAUACGUAGGGGGCAAGCGUUAUCCGGAUUUACUGGGGGUAAAGGGAGCGUAGACGGCAGUGCAAGUCCGGAGUGAAAGGCGGGGGCUUCACCCCCGGACUGCUCUGGAAACUGUACGGCUUGAGUGCAGGAGAGGUAAGGGGAAUGCCUAGUGUAGCGGUGAAAUGCGUAGAUAUUAGGAGGAACACCAGUGGCGAAGGCGGCUUACUGGACUGUAACUGACGUUGAGGCUCGAAAGCGUGGGGAGCAAACAGGAUUAGAUACCCGAGUAGUC
rnacentral:rRNA from 1 species